AGGGUUGUGGCUCAGUGGCAGAGUGCUUGCCUGGCAUGUCUGAGGGCCUGGGUUCCAUCCCCAGUAACACCA
rnacentral:tRNA from 1 species